AGAGCACAUGAUGGCGUUAGCCAAUAACAACAACCUUAGUUCUUGGGCUGCCAUACUCGCCAUGGCUCUCCUAGUCAUGGCUACCUUUUCUUUCUACGAAGGAGUGUCAGAUGAAGUGGUGAGCGAUACGACUGGAGAGACAUGUGUGGCUGACUAUGAAUGUGAUCAGACAUCGUGUGAAGUUAGGUGCCAGAUCAUGAACAUGGACCCAAGAGGCCGGAUCAAUUCCCUAUUGUUGUUGCCGCCCAUGACUACAUGCGGCACAUCAGAUAUGAAAAUAAUGGAAAAUGUUCUGAGACCAUAAUUCAUGUAUCUUCUGCAUGCUUGGUCAAUUAAUAGGAAUGAUAAGAGGAGAUUGCUUUUUGUUUGUUUGGCGAGGGGAUAAGAGGAGAUUGCUCGCCACAUAUAUUGAAGAAGUACUCUGUUUUUUGGCCAUGUGCGUUUGUUACAAAUUAUUAUAUAGUUUCAAUCAGAUUUAAA